AUGAAACAUCUAAGCUGGAACUGCCGGGGGCUUGGGAACCCCGAGGCAGUUCGCGAGCUUCGCAAGAUUGUGAAGCAAUAAGGGCCUGCUCUGGUUUUUGUGAUGGAAACAAAGAUUAGGGCUAAGAGAGUGGAAAUUCUACAGCAAAGUCUUGGUUUGGCGAGAUGUUUUGCGGUGGAUAGUGUUGGGCUCAGUGGCGGCAUUGGACUCUUUUGGUCAAAG
rnacentral:rRNA from 1 species